AUAAUUUAAACCAGUUCUAUAUCAUUUAAACCAGUUCUAUAUCAUUUAAACCAGUUCUAUAUCACUUAAACCAGUUCUGUAUCAUUUAAACCUGUUCUGUAUCAUUUAAACCAGUGGUUUGGCAUUUCCACACAGUCACCCAACUGAAAAAAACACAAACUAAUAUGUGAUUUGAAAUACAAUUUUUUUAUAAUCUUUUCAUAACAAAGUAAAUAACUUUUUCUUUCUUUGAAUCAACAAAAUGUUAGCCGUUUCCAUGACGAUAAGACGUGUGUGUCGUGUGCAGAGAGUCAAAAGAGAAUCAUUAGUUCCAUGAGAAAAACAUUUGUUGGACAAGGGCCGUUUUGUUGAUUACCAACAUGUCUUGUCACUGUGGAAAGACUGAGGGUGUCUCCCAAAUUGCGCCCUAUGAGUCCCGGUCAAUAGAAUAGAACUAUAUAGGGAUUUAGGGCUCCAUUCGGGCUAGAUACCCCUAGGCUACUUCAAACAAUGUGAAAGUAGGAAUAUACCAUAAAUGUUUAAAAUACUUUAUUUUCUGUUUUCUUUUUUUAAAGAAGAAACAAACACUUGUGAACUAAAGGCUCUAUUCAGUGGCUAAAGCCCGAAGCGUAACAGAUUGAGUGAUACACAUGUAAAGGCCGUUUCCAAUACGGCCGAUAACAUGCGCCGUUUACUGUGAACGCAGUCGCCGCUAACAUUACCGUGACAUUUAAAUCUAUUAUAAAUGUAAAUCUUUAAACGCUGUAACGCUGAACUUCAGAGUGGAUAGAGUCCAGCCCUUUAGUCAGCGAAAGAUACACAACCCCUCUCUCUUUAGUGUUUACUAUUGGCCAUUUAUCUCUACUCAGUCUCAUAGGUCCCCUGUUACCUAUAUAGUGUUUCAGAUGUCCAGGUCCAAAGUAGUGCACUAUGUAGGGAAUAGGGUUCCAUAGGGCUCUGGUCUAAAGUAGUGCACUAUAUAGGGAAUAGGGCCCUGGUCUAAAGUAGUGCACUAUAUAGGGAAUAGGGUUCCAUAGGGCUCUGGUCUAAAGUAGUGCACUAUAUAGGGAAUAGGGUUCCAUAGGGCUCUGGUCUAAAGUAGUGCACUAUAUAGGGAAUAGGGUUCUAUAGGGCUCUGGUCUAAAGUAGUGCACUAUAUAGGGAAUAGGGCCCUGGUCUAAAGUAGUGCACUAUAUAGGAAAUAGGGUUCUAUAGGGCUCUGGUCUAAAGUAGUGCACUAUAUAGGGAAUAGGGCCCUGGUCUAAAGUAGUGCACUAUAUAGGGAAUAGGGCCCUGGUCUAAAGUAGUGCACUAUAUAGGGAAUAGGGUUCCAUAGGGCUCUGGUCUAAAGUAGUGCACUAUAUAGGGAAUAGGGUUCCAUAGGGCUCUGGUCUAAAGUAGUGCACUAUAUAGGGAAUAGGGCUCUGGUCUAAAGUAGUGCACUAUAUAGGGAAUAGGGCCCUGGUCUAAAGUAGUGCACUAUAUAGGGAAUAGGGCCCUGGUCUAAAGUAGUGCACUAUAUAGGGAAUAGGGUUCUAUAGGGCUCUGGUCUAAAGUGGUGCACUAUAUAGGGAAUAGGGUGCCUUGUAUCUGUAGUACUAUAAGGAGACAUAUUUAGUACAGACUUGUGGAUUUGAUUGAAUAAAACUGACUGUAAAAUCUUAUUAAAAAAUAGACUGUUUCAUACAAACAAACCAUUUCUGACGAAACAGUUGAACUCAAACCAAGCUUGAAUAUUUGGUUGUAAACGUGUCGAUGUUAAUGAUGCCGAUACAGUAUUAAUAAGGAACGUUGUUGAAAAGGAACUUAAAGACACACGUAAAAAAUAAAACAUUAAAAUACAUGGUAACAGGGAGAACACCCAUUGAAUGGUGUCUGGUAACUAUGAGGAAUGGACAUAGGGUGUUCUCUUCCUUGGGAUUCCUCCAAAACGGAACCCUAUUCUCUGGUCUAAAGUAGUGCACUAUAUAUAGGGAAUAGGGUUCCAUAGGUCUCUGGUCUAAAGUAGUGCACUAUAUAUAGGGAAUAGGGUUCCAUAGGGCUCUGGUCUAAAGUAGUGCACUAUAUAUAGGGAAUAGGGUUCCAUAGGGCUCUGGUCUAAAGUAGUGCACUAUGCAGGGAAUAGGGGUUCCAUAGGGUUCUGGUCUAAAGUAGUGCACUAUAUAGGGAAUAGGGUGCCAUAGGGCUCUGGUCUAAAGUAGUGCACUAUAUAGGGAAUAGGGUUCCAUAGGACUCUGGUCUAAAGUAGUGCACUAUAUAUAGGGAAUAGGGUUCCAUAGGGCUCUGGUCUAAAGUAGUGCACUAUGCAGGGAAUAGGGUUCCAUAGGGCUCUGGUCUAAAGUAGUGCACUAUGCAGGGAAUAGGGUUCCAUAGGGUUCUGGUCUAAAGUAGUGCACUAUAUAGGGAAUAUGGUGCCAUAGGGUUCUGGUCUAAAGUAGUGCACUAUAUAGGGAAUAGGGUUCUGGUCUAAAGUAGUGCACUAUAUAGGGAAUAGGGUUCUGGUCUAAAGUAGUGCACUAUGCAGGGAAUAGGUUGCCAUUUUGGAGUGUUAGAAUUUGAAAGCAGUUUAAUUUCGUUGAAUGUCAGUUCCAGUGGGAUUAACCUUUUCUGAAACAGAUUCAUUAGUUUACAACGUGCUUCCAGAAUUUGACAGUAGGUCUAAUAUAUAAAUGGCCUUUUAAAUAUGCAGCAUCCCUUUUUUCUUUGAAGCACACUACCUAAAGCCUCCGUAUUCACAAACUAAGUUGCAGUUUAAUUUAAAAAACAACAUUUAUUUAUGCUGAUCAAAAAGCUAAAAAAAAAAAGGAACAGAUUGAUUGGUCGAUUCAUUGAUUGAUAAGAUCUAAAGAUACAUUCUGGAUAUUUCAGAAUCUGACAUUCCUUCUAGAAAUAAGACUCAAAUGUUCAAUGAAUGUUCAAUGAAGAAAAAACUACUAGAUAAACAUUUUUUUUUAAAAAUAGAACACAAGCUUCAAACACCUUAGAAAGUCCCAAUAAUAUUUUAUUUAUUUUUUCUCCUCCCUCUUUCUUCAUAUAUUAUUUGUCCUCUAGGUUUUCUUUCUCAUCUGCAGUGACUGCUACCUUUUCUAACCUCCAGAUGGUGGUCUACUACAAGCACAGCUUCUUGUACUUGCAUUUACAAAAUCCAGCCGCAGUACAACGUUUGUCUUGAAGGGGGCACUGUUUACAGUUUGCCAAAGCAGACUAAACUCUAUUCAAUCUGCAUCGCCGAAGUUCAGCUUUGCGUCGUAAUUGAAAUUUAAAAGGCACUGUUCCUAAUUAGGGGAGACUGCAUUCACGGUAAACGCUGCACGUGUCGGCUCAAAUCGGAAAUGACCUUUCAAUUGAUUUAGCAGAAUCUGUAACGCCUCAGCUUUACAGACUGAAUAUAGGCCUGGAGUUCUAUGGUUUAGAUACUCCACAAAGGAAGCUUUAUUAUCAAAGACAUGGGGACUAAUAGUAAUAGGUAAUGGGGACCAACCCCCUUUUGGAGAAGCGGUCACAUAUUUUAACUCUGAGUUGACUUCUUAAGUGAAUACUGUUUUGAUUAUCUCUCUGUCUCUGUCUCUGUCUCUCUCUCUCUCUGUCUCUCUCUCUCUCUCUCUCUCUCUGUCUCUCUCUGUCUCUCUCUCUCUCUCUCUCUCUCUCUCUCUGUCUCUGACUGUCUGUCUCUGUCUCUGUCUCUCUCUCUCUCUCUGUCUCUCUCUCUCUCUCUCUCUCUCUCUCUCUCUGUCUCUCUCUCUGUCUCUCUCUCUCUCUCUGUCUCUCUGUCUCUGUCUCUCUCUCUCUCU
ensembl:lncRNA